UACGUAGGGCGCAAGCGUUGUCCGGAAUUAUUGGGCGUAAAGAGCUCGUAGGCGGUCUGUUGCGUCUGCCGUGAAAACCCGAGGCUUAACCUCGGGCCUGCGGUGGAUACGGGCAGACUAGAGGUAGGUAGGGGAGAACGGAAUUCCCGGUGUAGCGGUGGAAUGCGCAGAUAUCAGGAGGAACACCGAUGGCGAAGGCAGGUCACUGGGCCGCAACUGACGCUGAGGAGCGAAAGCGUGGGGAGCGAACAGG
rnacentral:rRNA from 1 species